GGUUGCGAUCAUACCAGCACUAAUGCACGGAUCCAUCAGAACUCCGCAGUUAAGCGUGCUUGGGCGAGAGUAGUUACUAGGAUGGGUGACCCCCUGGGAAGUCCUCGUGUUGCAACCCC
rnacentral:rRNA from 1 species